rnacentral:rRNA from 1 species
AAAGUAAAGAGUUUGAUCCUGGCUCAGAUUGAACGCUGGCGGU